UUAAAAGGUCUACAUGCUGACGAAUGAGCAUCAUGCAUUAAUGGGGUUCCUAAUUUAUAGAUUCAAGCCCGAUUAAAGCCAGUGCCACAAUCUUCCAGGAAUACCAUUAUGUAGGUCCGGUCAACUACUGUGACACUUGACCGAACCUGAAUUGUAAUUUGUCCCAUUGUAAUACAAAUAACAAUUUUACAAUUUAGAGGGCUGUGCAAAGAGUCUUAU
rnacentral:lncRNA from 1 species